rnacentral:rRNA from 1 species
GAUGAACGCUAGCGGCAGGCCUAACACAUGCAAGUCGAGGGGUAGAAGGAGCUUGCUCCUUUGAGACCGGCGCACGGGUGCGUAACGCGUAUGCAAUCUACCUUGUACAGGGGAAUAGCCCAGAGAAAUUUGGAUUAAUGCCCCAUCGUAUAUAACCUUCGCAUGUUGGUUAUAUUAAGGUUCCAACGGUACAAGAUGAGCAUGCGUCCCAUUAGUUAGUUGGUAAGGUAACGGCUUACCAAGACGAUGAUGGGUAGGGGUCCUGAUAGGGAGAUCCCCCACACUGGUACUGAGACACGGACCAGACUCCUACGGGAGGCAGCAGUGAGGAAUAGUGGUCAAUGGUCGCAAGACUGAACCAGCCAUGCCGCGGGCAGGAAGACGGUCCUAUGGAUUGUAAACUGCUUUUAUACAGGAAGAAACCCUCCCACGUGUGGGAGCUUGACGGUACUGUAGGAAUAAGGAUCGGCUAACUCCGUG